rnacentral:ncRNA from 20 species
CUCUCCGAGGAGCGUUGCAGCGGCCCCCACACAUCAGGCGUGGUCGCGAGGCUCGGAGUCAUACCUGCAACGACGCUCGCCCACG